rnacentral:rRNA from 1 species
GACGAACGCUGGCGGCGUGCCUAACACAUGCAAGUCGAACGGAAAGGCCCUGCUUUUGUGUGGUUCUCGAGUGGCGAACGGGUGAGUAACAAGUGUGUAACCUGCCCCUGACUUUGGGAUAACAUCUGGAAACAGGGGCUAAUAACGGCUCGGAGCUCCUGCUGCCUGGUGGGGGUUGGAAUGUUUCGGCGGUCGGUGCUGUACUCGCGGCUUAUCAGCUCGUUGGGGGGGUAGUGGCUUACCAAGGCCUUGACGGGUAGCCGGCCUUAGAGGGUGACCGGGCACCAGAGUACUAAGAGACGGCGCAGUCGCCUAUGUGAGGCAGCAGGGGGGAAUAUGACACAGUGGGCGGAAGCCUGAGGCAGAAACGUCGCGUGCGGAAUGACGGCCUUCGGGUUGUGAACCGCUUUCGCCUGUGACGAAGCGUGAGUGACGGUAAUGGGUAAAGAAGCACCGGCUAACUACGUG